UACAGAGGCUUCUCUAAGUAGCUAGCGCACAAUCCACGCCCACAAGGAUGGGCCGAGCAGCAUGACACUGACAGUUUUCGGUCCCUCACGAUCUUUCCAACUCUCGGCACCGCCGCACAACUCAGAAAAAGACCACAUGGCCUGUUCUGCCAAGUCUCACCGGCUAAAGAAAACCCCAAAAUUAGUCCUGAUGGUCCUAGACCGAGAGAUAGAAGAGCGGGCUUGGGGGUGGAGAUGAGUCCGCCCCGAAGAGUCACCAAUCAGCUGUCGUCCAGCCGCCAGAAGAGCAAGUUAAUACUACACAGCUUGGAAGAGACCAGUUCCCAAACAUGCCAGCGGAGAAAUUCAGCCUAGACUCCAGGAGUGCUUGAGGCUUUUAUGACUUCUGGACGUCAAAAAGGGUCUUUUGUGACUGGAUGCUUACCUCACCAGUGUGUGGUUAGCGUCAAAGGCACAAUGAUAUUGAUUUAAAGCCUGUGGAUAACAACAUAAGCUGAUUUUUCUAUCUUAAAACUCUUAGCCAAGAACACUCCUGUCACAGGUGCUGGUACUAGGCCCGCAAAUAAACCACCCAGGUUUUAUUUGCCUCAGUUUUAAAACAGUGGCUAAAAAGCAUUAAAUUUCCUAGUCAACUGGGAAUGACAGGUCUAAAUAACAAAUGGUACUUGAACCGCACUAAGUUGUGUGGGCGUAGAGAAACUUCAGCAAAAGCUUUUGUCAUGUUUAACCCCUGUGUACAGAUAUUUUUCAUGGGAUUUUUCUAUUUAGUUACAUACACAUUUUAAAAUAAUUUUUAAAGUGUCCAUUAUUUUUAAAGAGUAUAAUCAUUUUAAUAUGCUAUGUUUAAACCUUGACACCAAACAGGUUAAGUAAAAGAAAGUGAGCAUAGUAUCUACUUGGUAAGAAUAAUUUAUUAUACUGGAAGCUAUCAGAUGACUCACUGUGGAGUUCCUUAACUGCUAAAAUCUUUAGUUCCAGCCUUGUAAAUGUGAGGGGAAGGGAACCAAAGUUUCUUCUUGUGUAAUCUGGGUCACUUUACAAAUCUAAAAGAAAAUGAGAAGAAAACAUUUUAUCUAUUUUGGCAUGAAAAUUUAACCAUUUUGUUUUUCAUCCUUUGCAAUUCAAAGUUUUGUUUGUUUAAAAAAAGGCCUGUGCAGUUAUGCAAAUACAUCUCCCCACCUCAGGAUGAUCUCUUCCUAAGAGAAUAAGGAAUUAUUUUCUACUCGCUAAUAAUUUGUUUUGUAGUUUUAAUUGAACUGUCAAGAUCUAAUGUAAAUGGGACAAAAAUAGAAGGGGAGAAGAGAAGAGCUAGCUGGGUGCAAUAGAUUCCAAAAAACCUAUUCCUGAGACAAAAAUUCCCUAGGUAAUUGAUCUAGAAGAUGAGAAGUUUUGAUUGACAAGGGGAGAAAUAAUGGAAUCAUCAACUCUCUUAGUCCUCCCAACAACCUUUUAAGGUGUCAGUUUUCAAUUGAAUCAACUGAAAAGUAGAAAAAUUAUACAAUAUAUUGUUGAAGGUAAUACUAUAAUACUUCUUCCUUUAUAUUAAAUGAUAAGACUUUGUCAGAUACAGUGAGAAGAGACAUUAGAAACAGAAAUAAGCAUGUGCACCAUAAGGGUCAUUCCAAAUAUUUAUUGAGGAUAAGACCCUGUGUUAAAUGCUAAGGAUACAGAGAUAAAUGAAACAAUUGUCCUAAAGCAGCUGACACUACUGAGAGAAACCUGCAAGAAAACAAAAAAUGCAAUAUAAGGUAAAUAAAUGUUGUAGUACAGGCUAAUGUUAAUGAUACGCAUCCAGAAGGGAUGUGGGAAAGCCAAUGAAGGUGAUGCUUUAACUGAGUCCCAAUAUUGUAGAGUUAUCCCCUAUUAAUCCUAAAUAGUUCUGGGAUAGGUUCAGGAAGUGAAAUCUAAAGAACAAAGAAGAUGAGCAAGGAAACUAUUCUGGGAAAAGGAAUUUGAAAAGGUCUAAUCCAACAAAUAAGUGAGUCACAUUAGAUAAAUGAAAAUUGCAAGAGAUAGGUACUAUGAGAGCUUACAUUAGGGUCAUUCACUGAUCUUGUCAGAAAAGGUGAGCCAUCCUUGAGGAGGUCCCACUGGAAUAGAGGUCUAAAGGAUGAGAAUCUAAAGAAAGGAGAAGAGAAAACAGAGGGAACAUGCACAAAGGCCUUUUUUCAGGAGGAAAGUAGCUUCAGACUCAAAGGAGGCCACUGUGGCUAGAGAAUAGUUAGCUAAAGAACAGACUAAGCAGGACUUGAUUGGCCAUACUGAGAACCUUCAUCUUUUUCUUGAGAGAAGUUUGGGGGAAGGGAUUUGACCUGAUCAGAUCUGUGUUUUGAAAAGAUCAUUCCAGUUGCAGUUAGGAACCUGAACAGGGCCAGCCUUGGAUCAGUUAGGAUCUAUGGGUCAUGGUUGGUGUUGGUGGUAAGUGGCUCAAGUGGACUGGGAUGGGCACAAGGGAAAAUGGAACAAUUUAGGAAGUAAAAUGGGAGGUCUUAGGAAUUAAUUUAGAUAUGGUGGAGUGGAAUGAAUGGGGAUUGAAGGAGAGGAAGAAGCCAGAAGUGGCAGGACCUCAGGAGUUCCCAUUGUGGCUCAGCAGUUAACAAAACUGACUAGUAUCCAUGAGGAUGUGGGCAAAUAUGGCUAGGAUCCUGAGUUCCUGUGGCUGUGGUGUAGGCUGGCAGCUGCAGCUCUAAUUGAACCCCUAGGCUGAGAACUUCCAUUUGCUGUGGGUGUGGUCCUAAAAAGCAAACAAAC
rnacentral:lncRNA from 1 species